AACGUACGCUGGCGGCACGCCUAACACAUGCAAGUCGAACGCAGUAGCAAUACUGAGUGGCAGACGGGUGAGUAACAUGUGGGAAUCUGCCUUGUGGUUCAGGACAACAUUGGGAAACCGAUGCUAAUACUGGAUAAGCCCUUACGGGGAAAGUUUUAAUGCCAUAAGAUGAGCCCGCAUUUGAUUAGUUAGUUGGUGAGGUAAUGGCUCACCAAGACUUUGAUUGGUAGGGGAACUGAGAGGUCAAUCCCCCACACUGGCACUGAGAUACGGGCCAGACUCCUACGGGAGGCAGCAGUAGGGAAUAUUGGGCAAUGGACGCAAGUCUGACCCAGCCAUGCCGCGUGCAGGAUGAAGGCGUUAUGCGUUGUAAACUGCUUUUAUACAGGAAGAAACGACUCUUGCGAGAGGCAUUGACGGUACUGUAUGAAUAAGCACCGGCUAACUCCGUGCCAGCAGCCGCGGU
rnacentral:rRNA from 1 species